rnacentral:rRNA from 1 species
AGUGAACGCUGGCGGUAGGCCUAACACAUGCAAGUCGAACGGCAGCACAGUAAGAGCUUGCUCUUACGGGUGGCGAGUGGCGGACGGGUGAGGAAUACAUCGGAAUCUACUUUUUCGUGGGGGAUAACGUAGGGAAACUUACGCUAAUACCGCAUACGACCUACGGGUGAAAGCAGGGGAUCUUCGGGCCUUGCGCGAUUGAAUGAGCCGAUGUCGGAUUAGCUAGUUGGCGGGGUAAAGGCCCACCAAGGCGACGAUCCGUAGCUGGUCUGAGAGGAUGAUCAGCCACACUGGAACUGAGACACGGUCCAGACUCCUACGGGAGGCAGCAGUGGGGAAUAUUGGACAAUGGGCGCAAGCCUGAUCAAGCCAUACCGCGUGGGUGAAGAAGGCCUUCGGGUUGUAAAGCCCUUUUGUUGGGAAAGAAAAGCAGCAGGUUAAUACCCCGCUGUUCUGACGGUACCCAAAGAAUAAGCACCGGCUAACUUCGUG